CCUCGACUAGUGCAAACAAUCAACAAAUUCUUUUUAUUCUAUUUUCGGUGCCAUACAGAUUCAGAAGCGGAAGCGGAAAGAGUUUACUUUAUCCACUUUACGAUCUAUGUGGAGGUGUGCUCAAAUCAAGCUUCUGCCGUCGUCAGUCCGACGACUUUGCGACGCGUGCCGAUGGGCAAACUUCCGUUUUAAUUUGUCAAACUCGUGUGUGAUAGUAUUCUCUUUGUUUUUCUAUGGAGAUCUCGAAACGAAACUCGAUUUAAUUAUUUAGCGACAGAUUUCUAAGCAUCAUUUGGGAGAAAUCAGCAUAUCUGUGAGUUAAUGACGUCAUAUUUCA
rnacentral:lncRNA from 1 species